rnacentral:antisense_RNA from 1 species
CCCAGACAUCAAAGCUGAGCUUUCUUUGUCUCCGGCAGCCUGGGCCACUCCAGAGGUGUUAAAGCUCCAGCACUUCCAGCCUGCCUUGUGGGAAAGUCUUAGGCUGAGUCUGGGCUGGAAACCUAACAAUUUCACGUCCUAGACAACUUGCUAAAAGUCACCUAAAGACAGUCUGGUUACUGCCAAAGAUAUGCUUUCAAAUAAGAUUUGGAUAAAGAAGGGAGGUAGAUGCCUUUUUUCAGCAGUGGAGUGAUGUCUAGACCAGUAGAUGUACGCAUCUAAGUGAAUUCAUCACCAGCAACAAUUUCCAGAAACUUCCUGACCUCCAGAUUGCAGCUUCAUUAGUGUGAGUUUAAAGCCAACUAGAUGCCAUUCUCAGAUUCCACGCAUAUGGCCAAGGGUCCAGGAAAUAAGAAGAAACAGGAUUGAGGGGUUGGUGUUAUGGGGCAUUUACUUGAAUUUUCUAUGCUAUAAUUGUCUCAUCUUUAAAAUGGUGAUAAUAAUAAAAUGGUCAGUUAUUAAAUAAAUUAACACAGUGAAAAAAAA